GUGUGGCGAUGGUCAGUUCUCGAUCUUCGAACGGGCAGAAAGCUAAACAACAAGAUCAGGGUGGCGAUGGUCAGUUUUUCAGCUUCGAACGGGCAGAGAGCUAAACAACAAGAUCAGCGUGGCGAUGGUCAGUUCUUGAGCUUCGAACGGGCAGAAAGCUAAAAAACAAGAUUAGUGUGGCGAUGGUCAGUUCUCGAUCUUCGAACGGGCAGAAAGCUAAACAACAAGAUCAGGGUGGCGAUGGUCAGUUUUUCAGCUUCGAACGGGCAGAGAGCUAAACAACAAGAUCAGGGUCGCGAUGGUCAGUUUUUCAGCUUCGAACUGGCAGAGAGCUAAACAACAAGAUCAGGGUGGCGAUGGUCAGUUUUUCAGCUUCGAACGGGCAGAGAGCUAAACAACAAGAUCAGCGUGGCGAUGGUCAGUUCUUGAGCUUCGAACGGGCAGAAAGCUAAACAACAAGAUCAGGGCGGCGAUGGUCAGUUCUUGAGCUUCGAACGGGCAGAAAGCUAAACAACAAUAUCAGGGUGGCGAUGGUCAGUUCUUGAGCUUCGAGCGGGCAGAAAGCUAAACAACAAGAUCAGGGCGGCGAUGGUCAGUUCUUGAGCUUCGAACGGGCAGAAAGCUAAACAACAAGAUCAGGGUGGCGAUGGUCAGUGCUUGAGCUUCGAACGGGCAGAAAGCUAAACAACAAGAUCAGGGUGGCGAUGGUCAGUUCUUGAGCUUGGAACGGGCAGAAAGCUAAACAACAAGAUCAGGGCGGCGAUGGUCAGUUCUUGAGCUUCGAACGGGCAGAAAGCUAAACAACAAGAUCAGGCUGGCGAUGGUCAGUUCUUGAGCUUCAAACGGGCAGAAAGCUAAACAACAAGAUCAGGGUGGCGAUGGUCAGUGCUUGAGCUUCGAACGGGCAGAAAGCUAAACAACAAGAUCAGGGUGGCGAUGGUCAGUUCUUGAGCUUGGAACGGGCAGAAAGCUAAACAACAAGAUCAGGGUGGCGAUGGUCAGUUCUUGAGCUUCAAACGGGCAGAAAGCUAAACAACAAGAUCAGGGUGGCGAUGGUCAGUGCUUGAGCUUGGAACGGGCAGAAAGUCGGCGGCCGUCACCGAUGCUUGAGGGCUGGCCUCCGCCCGACUGCCCAGAAGCGUAUUUCGUUCAGUCAUGUAUGCCUGUGUUCUCGCCGGUUCCGUUUGCUCCACCAUCUCCGGCGACAUCAGGCUGCGUGCUCCAUCUUUCUCUCUGAUGCCCCUCCUGGGCCCACGUGAUCCCUGUGGCAGUGACUCUACAGUACAGGACAGGACAGGUGUGUGUGUGUGUGUGUAUGUGUGCGCGCAUACAUGUGCAUAUGUGUGUGUGUGUGUGUGUGUGUGUGUGUGUGUGUGUGUGUGUGUGUGUGUGUGUGUGUGUGUAUUAGUGUGGUAUGUAUAUGCUUGUGUUCUUUAGACUUGGUGUGCAGUUCGCUCAUCUCAUAGUCUAGCAGACAUGUUUCAAUCAAUGAUUUAAAAGAGAACAUCUCCUCUCGCAGCUAGAGUCCUCCUGGACCAGAGCUUGCCUGUGCAAAUCGUCUCGUCUACCAUUCCAAGCGAUGAACAUGGCUUCAUAGCGUGUUUUCCACCGUCUUUGCAAGUCACGAUUGCACUUACUGUGGUGUGAAAGAAUGCUACAGUUGUACACAUCCAGUUGCAGCUCAAGCCAGAGAGCAGCCAGCAUUCUGCUGGCGUAUGUGAGCAAAGGUUGCUGUUGGAAUUGUCCAUUGCAGAGAACAGCUUUACUUACCUGCCAUAUGUCACGUAAACCAGUCCGUGCAGCCGUUAGACCUGUGUUGAUGGAUGCAGCAGCUAUCCUGCAUUGUGACUAUAGACCUUUGAGGGUAUCAUGGAUAUGGAUUCUGCUCCUGCAAUAUUGCCCGUGAUCAUGGUGAUGGCCGCCUAGUAGCUAGCCCAGCAGAUGUAUCAGAACUAGCAGAUGCAGCAGCUGAGCCAGCCAUAGCUACCACUGCAACAGACCCAGCAGUAGGAGCAGUUGCCAUUGCAGCUAACACUGCAGCAGAAUACAGCGGCAAGAGCAGUUGCCAUGGCAACAACCACUACAACAGACACAGCAGCAACAACAGUGGCCAUAGUGGCAACAAACACAGCAUCUGCUGCACCAGACAGUGACUGUAUUCGUUUGAAAACUAGUGGGCAGACGGCUCACAGCAGCAAUGCCAAGCAUCAGUCAGAACGGCUCAGUCUUCAGCAGCAGUAAGCAGCAGUAAGCAGCAGUAAAUGGCAUGCAGUACACUUCACAAAGUGAGCACCUUAGCAAGAAAGAUGUUGUUUUUCUUCCUUUUUUCCACGCACCGAGCAGCAGUGGAAGUGUUAAAUCACUGUUUGCAUAUGCCAAUGGACUGGUCGAAGGAUGUGAGCCCAUGCUAUCCAUUAAAUCACUGAAAACCUUUUGACAUCUCUGCCUUUCUGUCAUACUUUGGCGAAAGCUUAAUUUUAGUUUCCACUCUCAGACCUAGAUUCCGUCUGUUGGAGUGCACAUCCAAGACGGGCUAUAGCUGAUAGCCAGUUAUUUGUAGAACGUCAGUACCGUCGUGCAAUGUUAUCGCAUGAGCUGAUUGUCAGGUAACUGGUGGUAGUGCACACUAUAACGUAACUUGUAGUUCCUUGGUCCUUUUCUUUACCUUAAAUUAUUUCCAUAUUAUUGGACUCAAGAGUGCUACGUUGCAGCUAGCCCAUAAUAAUGACAGCGCUGACUUUUUGCGUCCAGUUUUCAUAUGGAUUCAUACAUGUUUGGGUGGUUUUUCCUUCUCAGCAUUUUGACACUUCGUUCAACCUGUAGACUACGGCGAAUUAUGAUCGCAAAAUUGUGGAAUCAUGCUCCCAUGGAUGCUGGCACUAUGCUCGCAAACUCUUUAUAUUAUAAAAUUUGAUUUUGCGAGCGUUAUUUUUUAUGCUUUGUAACGGAUCCUUUGAAAGCUUUGGGAUGCGGGUAUAUUUAUUCAGUGUGUUGUAAUUGUA